rnacentral:lncRNA from 1 species
UUUUUUUAAGAAGAAGAGAGAAUUGUAGUAUGCUAUCAUUUUUUUCGUAUUUAAUUAAAACUAUAAAAUAAUUAGGCUUCAAACUUAUGAUCUUAUAUAUCAAUUAUCUAACUUUUUGCCACUUCAGUUAAGAAUGAUAAGUUAUAUAUCAAAGCAUUAUACUAGUGAGCACAUGAGAUCUACAUAAGCUGAGAGGGAGAGAGAGAGUUUAUGUAU